rnacentral:misc_RNA from 1 species
AAAAAAGGUCCCUGGACUUCUGCGGAAGAUGUAAUUUUAGUGGAUUAUGUAAUGACACAUGGUGAGGGGAACUGGAAUGCUGUACAGAGGCAUUCAGGACUUGCUCGUUGUGGUAAAAGUUGCCGCUUGCGGUGGGCAAAUCACCUGAGACCAGAUUUAAAGAAAGGUGCAUUCACACCAGAGGAAGAGCAGCGGAUAGUUGAACUGCAUGCUAAAAUGGGAAAUAAAUGGGCACGCAUGGCUGUUGAGUUGCCUGGCCGUA